rnacentral:rRNA from 1 species
UACAUGUGGGGCAAGCGUUUGUUCGGAAUUACUGGGCAUAAAGGGUGCGUAGGCGGAUUUGUAAGUCAGGGGUGAAAUCCCGGGGCUCAACCUCGGAACUGCCUUUGAUACUGCAAAUCUCGAGUCCGGAAGAGGUGAGUGGAAUUCCUAGUGUAGAGGUGAAAUUCGUAGAUAUUAGGAAGAACACCAGUGGCGAAGGCGGCUCACUGGUCCGGUACUGACGCUGAGGUGCGAAAAGCGUGGGGAGCAAACAGG